rnacentral:sRNA from 1 species
CCCAACAUUUCGCUUCGCUGCAUGUUGGGCUGAAAUCGCCCGUCCCUUCGGGACU